GUACGCAUAUUGAUAAACGCCCAGGGAAACCAGACAACCACAGAAACAAGACUGAUUACCACAUAAGACGCUGAAGACAGGUCAGAGAGACGAGACUGGGACUGACUGGACAUAAACAGAAAUCCUACCUGCAAAUGGAAAAUCCACCCUCCACACUCAUGUACAGCACUUUGUUUGAAAGCGCUUUAUAAAUAAAGUUAUUAUUAUUAUUAUUA